rnacentral:rRNA from 1 species
CGACUAAUACAGCAUAACACUCCUGAGGGACAUCCUUCGGGAGUCAAAGGAGGUAACUCCGGUGACGGAUGGGCAUGCGGCGCAUUAGGUAGUUGGUAGGGUAACGGCCUACCAAGCCGACGAUGCGUAGGGGUUCUGAGAGGAAGGUCCCCCACAUUGGAACUGAGACACGGUCCAAACUCCUACGGGAGGCAGCAGUGAGGAAUAUUGGUCAAUGGCCGGAAGGCUGAGCCAGCCAAGUCGCGUGAGGGAAUGAGGCCCUAUGGGUCGUAAACCUCUUUUGUCAGGGAGCAAAGGCGUCCACGUGUGGACGAGAGGAGAGUACCUGAAGAAAAAGCAUCGGCUAACUCCGUGCCAGCAGCCGCGGUAAUACGGAGGAUGCGAGCGUUAUCCGGAUUUAUUGGGUUUAAAGGGUGCGUAGGCGGAGUGUCAAGUCAGCGGUAAAAUUUCGGGGCUCAACCCCGUCGUGCCGUUGAAACUGACACCCUUGAGUGAGUGAGAAGUAAGCGGAAUGCGUGGUGUAGCGGUGAAAUGCAUAGAUAUCACGCAGAACGCCGAUUGCGAAGGCAGCUUACCGGCGCUCAACUGACGCUGAGGCACGAAAGUGCGGGUAUCGAACAGGAUUAGAUACCCUGGUAGUCCGCACAGUAAACGAU